AGCAGCCAGAGAGGCAGGAGCUCCUUCAGCCUUGAUGCGAGAAGCAGUGAGAACAGCAGGGUUAUAAGAAACAUUAUGUACCAAAGGAACUCCUAUCCAUUAUGGAGUGCUUGACUGGUUUUACAAAAGAAUCAAAAUGAGCUGUGGCUGUAAAGUAUUUCAUCCUCUUAGCAGAAAUAUUGUAGGCUCUUUCCUGAGUUACUGCCAAAAAAAUAAAUUAUAUACUGGAUUUUUAAUAUUGAUAGGUAACUCUUCCUAUCUUGAAUAGGAAGAUGUUUUCUUGUAUGUGCCUCUUAAUUACUGGAAAGGCCAGUAAUAGCCUUAUGUGCAUCAUUAAUAUUGUAGCUGAGAAAUAAAUGCCAUGCACUCAGGCUUGUCCUAAUUCAGUUUCUUCUGUGGACAGUCAUUUGAUAUAUCCCCAACAGGAUAUUAAAUUAUUAAUCUAACCAGA